CGUAGGGUGCGAGCGUUGUCCGGAAUUAUUGGGCGUAAAGGGCUCGUAGGCGGUUUGUCGCGUCGGGAGUGAAAACACCGGGCUUAACUCGGUGCUUGCUUUCGAUACGGGCAGACUAGAGGUAUGCAGGGGAGAACGGAAUUCCUGGUGUAGCGGUGAAAUGCGCAGAUAUCAGGAGGAACACCGGUGGCGAAGGCGGUUCUCUGGGCAUUACCUGACGCUGAGGAGUGAAAGUGUGGGGAGCGAACAGGAUUAGAUACCCUGGUAGUCCACACCGUAAACGUUGGGCGCUAGGUGUGGGGCCUAUUCCAUGGGUUCCGUGCCGCAGCUAACGCAUUAAGCGCCCCGCCUGGGGAGUACGGCCGCAAGGCUA
rnacentral:rRNA from 1 species